rnacentral:rRNA from 1 species
GACGAACGCUGGCGGCGUGCCUAAUACAUGCAAGUCGAGCGCAGGAAGUCAUCCGACCCCUUCGGGGGGACGUUGACGGAAUGAGCGGCGGACGGGUGAGUAACACGUAAAGAACCUGCCCUCAGGUCUGGGAUAACCACGAGAAAUCGGGGCUAAUACCGGAUGGGUCAUCGGACCGCAUGGUCCGAGGAUGAAAGGCGCUCCGGCGUCGCCUGUGGAUGGCUUUGCGGUGCAUUAGCUAGUUGGUGGGGUAAUGGCCCACCAAGGCGACGAGGCAUAGCCGACCUGAGAGGGUGAUCGGCCACACUGGGACUGAGACACGGCCCAGACUCCUACGGGAGGCAGCAGUAGGGAAUCUUCCACAAUGGACGAAAGUCUGAUGGAGCAACGCCGCGUGAACGAUGAAGGCCCUCGGGUCGUAAAGUUCUGUUGUAAGGGAAGAACAAGUGCCGCAGGCAAUGGCGGCACCUUGACGGUACCUUGCGAGAAAGCCACGGCUAACUACGUG